GGCGCACUUAAGCCACGCGCCUAGCGCGUUCAGCCCCGCGCCGAGCAGCGCCGUGAGGCGCAGGCCGCGGGCGUCCAGCAGCCAGGUGGCGGGCAGGAUGAGCGGCACGUAGGCCACCAUGUACACCAUGGAGAGCCAGUCUAUCUCCGUGAAGGACACGCUGUAGAAGUGGACGAAGACGUUGCUGAGGAUGCUGUACUGGAUCCACUGGAAAGCGUUCACCAGAGAGUAGCAGCUGAACACGGCCAGCACCGCAAGCCGCCGCCGCGACAGCCGCGUCUCCACCCGCCCGCCGCCCGCCGUGCAUCCUCCGGGGCCGCCGUUCUCCGCUUCCUUGCCGGGGAGGAAGCCGUUGUGCUGCGGGGCUCCCAGCAUCUCCCCUCUCUCUCCCUCCGCCUCCCCCUCCUCUUCCUCGCUGCCGUCCUCCACCAUCUCGGCCGUCUCCCCGCCCAGCUUCCCGGCAGCGGCGGCCUCAGCCUGGCUCUACCGGCGCUCAGCGUCCCACGAGGUCACCGCUCCGCCGCCGGGCGGAAAGCAGCUUCGGGCACCCGGCAUGACCUUGCAGUCCAUCCAGUGACAACAUUUAUCCCUACAGACAUAGGAAUGAGGCUUUGUUCUCCUCCCAUUCUUCUUUUCCCUGCUGUUACACUAUUGACUCUGUAGCAGUGCUGGUGGAUAUGCUCUGAGUAAGGUUCAAGGUCAGCCUGUUCUAGAGUUGCAGAUGUGUCUGACUUUCCACUUUCACAGCAAACAGACAGCAUCCUCUUUGCAUGACAACACACAAAGCUUCACUUGCUUUCUACACGGGAAUCCCACACAGAAGAAAUAACCGAACACCUUUCUCAAAAUGAUGUCUGAGGCAGUGAAAAAAGCACCUGGUUGCAAUGGACGUGACAAGGCAGUGCAGACGCUUGGUAUGAAGGAGAAGAGGCAUGGCCUGGCUGGAGGGAUAUGUUUCCCUCAAAGCAGGGAGAAGGCUUCACAACCAUUACUUGUGAUUUACAUCGCUUUGUAUGAGAAGAGGGCCAAGGACGUUGUUGAACAGCAGGAGAAAGUUAUCCUGUGAGAAACAGCCAUGGAGGGAGCUCACUUAAAAUGUGCAUCCUUGGAGUUCUGUGUUUCAUGGAUAAUUUAUGAAGGUAAAAACAGAAGACUUAUGUCAAGGUUUGCAGGACAAAUUUAGCUUACAACUGCUGCUUAACUAUUUCAAUCUAGCCUCUCAUCCAAAAUCUGUUCCUGUUACUAUAAUAUAUUGUCAAUUGAAAAAGUGAUGUAUUUUCAUAACUAUUUCCACAACUGUGCCAUCUGUGGAUGAAACAUCAUUAAGAAGGUGUCCUUUUAUUUCAGUUUGGAGCAUGUAACAAAAUAAAGUCAGCUAUAUAGUGCUGCUUUCAAGGUGUAAUUAGCUUCCUAACACCCCUAGCUAGGUUAUUUCAGCUGUAUUAAUUCCUAGUCACAUUCUUUUUCCAAACCUUUCAACAGCAUCUAAGUCUUCCACCUAGAAAUCCACAGGUGUAUCUAUCUAGGUGAAACUUGAGCCUGAGGGUAGGAAUCUUAAAUGAACAUUUCACUGGGAUUGGGACCAUAGAAUGUUGCCAAAACACCAACACUUCUUCAAAAAUAAAACUGGCAUUUUUGCGUGCACCUGGCACACAGUUCAGAUUUCCAGGAUUUUCUGUUUGCAAUGUUUCAAACCGUGUCAGUCCUUACUGUCAAGAAUUUAAAUGUUAUUUUAUAAGGCACUCAAGUCCCGGUUACGCUGAUCUCAGUGCAGGGACAGUCUCCAUUGAAGAAAUGCACCGUGUUCUUCAGACCCCCAGAAAUAAAUAAAUAAAAACCCAACAGCAGCUUAAGAAAGUGAUUUCAGAACAAAAGAUCUGAAGUUCCAGCUGAGCUGGAAAUGAACUAUUUUAGCAAGGUAUUAAACAAACCCCAGUAAGCUGGACUUGAAAUAAAGUGGUCAAAGAGUUGCAUGUUUAAAUUUCUUCAUUGAAAGCUGUUAAGAGAAUACAGGGAAAAUGUAAACAUCCUCUUCCUCCUAUACAGUCCUCAUUCCAGCGACAUUCCCUGCUCUCCCCACAACAUAAAGCCUUAACCUCUCACAGAAUGAGCAUCUGCAAUACAAAGCACUUAACUGAAGUUUGCUCAUAGAUUAACUCCAGGUGCUUGUCUGGGCACCUUCAUUUUGGAACAUAACUGCCCAUAGUAGGGAUGUUUGUCUGUGACCUGUAUGCAAUUUUUUUUAUACUGGCAGGCACACAGAUGUAUGCCCUUACUUAAGCAUCAGAGAAAAGUUCUAUAUUUUGAGAUAUGGGGAGUGAUAAGUGAGCAGGGUACUCUUCUGUAAGUAAUGUUAGAAAUUAGCAUUCUGAGAUGUCUCCAGCCACACAAAAGAUGCAGAAAUGUACAUCUGCUGCUUCUGUUGUGCUGCCAUCUGGUUUUCCUUUUGUAGUCAGCUGUCAGUCUGUAACACGUAACAGAAUUUCUCUCCUGAGUUUCCAAGCAAGUGGGGAAAAUAUGUUACGUACACAGAAUUUGUGUUUUAAAUAAAUUAAUUAAUAGAUAAAUAAAUAGUGAACAAAUCCAGUAGGUAAAAUGUGCUCGGAUCUUAUUCAGCAUGGGUAAGAGCUUCUUCAUCUAUCAUAAAAAGUGUAACCUCCAUCUGAAUCCUUUAUAAACAGUAAGCAACAACACACUGCCCAUGUUCACAACAAUUAAUAAAAGUCAUGAGAUGCAGAGGGUGCCUUUAAGGAACAUUCUCAUUUACAACAAGUACUCAUUCAUCCAAACAGUGGUUAACUUUCGGGAAGAGCCUCAAAGCACUUUUUGUUGUCACUGCACAAACUCUUCCCCUCAUACUCUGUUCUCUGCGGCAACGUGCUGCCAGACAGUCUCAAUCUCAAGUUCUUCUGUGAGAGAGAUGAAAUGACAUCAGCCUCACUUAGCAAAGGCCUGUGGGACAGAAGUGAUUGGAAAAGCCACGUUAACAUUAAGGAAAAAACGCCGAGUGUCAGCCAGCUUCGGUAGGAUGUUGAACAACUGGCCAAUGAAAGCACCAUUCAAAGGAACAAGGAUAAAACAUCACCUUUGCUUCUAGGAGGUCUCAGAUAACUUGAGAGCUGCAGCAAUUUAAUGUGCAAUACUUGUGAAAAAAACACCAUGGCAGGACUUCAGUUUCACAACCCUCUUUUACUAUCUGCUUCAUCGCAACCAUUUGCACACUCUUUAAAAAUUAGAUGGAAGGGAAAUGUGGGUUUGGAUCUACUAAGAGCCAAGUAUGGAAAUGCAUUUGUAUUAUAAAGACAUUGCUCACCCGAUCUUGAGAAAUGUCGUUACUUUUACUAUUGAGGAAACCCAAAUAUUUACUAACAGCUUGAAGUUCCCAAUUUCUCUCUGAAGAAAUUAUCAGCAGGAAGAGAGCCAUGUUUCUUAAUGGCCUACAUCUAUUCCAUAGGGAAGACGUUGGCUGACCUCAGCAUAACUAAAAAUCAGAGGGGUUUUUUUUUGUGUAGAGUUGAAUAAAAAAAAAACAAUGCCUGCCCAAGCCCCUGGCUGUGAGAGCACAUUAUGGAAAAUGCAAUAACAUUCCUGCAGCCUACACCACUUGAAUAGGAGGAACUCGGCCAUCCAGACACCAAAAGGGACUUUUUCUGCUCCUUUGUUGGGAAAGCACUGCAAGCAUUCUUCAAAGACCCCUUCAGACAGCUCUCUUUAUAGUACGCCCAACAACAUUCAGACUGUUUCAGAUCAGCCACAAAGCCAGAACAUCUCAGGGAAAAUUCUCCCUUUUACUAUGGGGGAGAUAAUUCAGUGUUCUCCAAGGUGUUGAUGAACGCAUUCACUGGUAUGCUUUACUGGAGCAGCUAUCACAUCAUCUCAGCCCAAAAGCUGGCAUGCUGACUUACAAAUUAUUUAUCUUUUCAAAUCCCUGUGGCUCUUCUCAUAUGAAAUAAUAAGACCAAGCCAGUAAAAAAAGAAAAUAUUGUGCUACAUUGCACUAAGGCUUUUCAGUGCAUUGAGUUUAGAGAGAACACAGGAAGAGAGUUUUAAAGGGGCGUAAGUAAGGGGAUUGAUCUAUCUGUUUUUGACUGAAUCUAUUUGUUUGGACCAAGGGAAGGACCCAUUGCUUGGACGCAUUCUCCAACAUGGAAUCUGUUUAAUUAAUUUCUGGUGCUGCCAAGAAAACAAAAUAAGGCAGAAUAGCACACAACAAGGUCAAUCUCACUACAGCCAUCAAUAUAGCAACAUUCAAAACAGGAACCAGAUCCGCCAGAGUGGCAUUCAGACUGUUUAAGCUUCUGGAGAUAAUCCUGUAUUUCCAAUGAACUGCAAAUACAGGCUAAACAGAGCAUUUAUGUCCCUUAAGACCUCAGACAGUGCAAAUGGAUGGCAGCUUUUAGAAACCCUAGGAGAGGAGCGAAGAGGAAAUAACUUAGGUCCCGAGAAUAACUUUUGAUUGCUUACUUCUCUUCACAGGCAGUAGAACUUGGGCUCCUUGGAGCUAUGCAUGGGACGAAAGCUGUGUUGGAUGUCAGCAAGCAGAUUCACAGAACUCAUGAAAAGCCAUAAGUUACUCGAACACACUGGUGAGAGAAAACCCUGGCCAGCCCCAGCUGGGCUGGUGGCUUGGGUGCACCAUGCUCAGCAACAUCCCCGGGUGCCUGCUCACUGUCACCUUCUUUUCUUCCUCACUGCACAGUCAGCAACUCUCACGGUAGUGCAGCUUUUCCCAGGGUACAUGUCUGGGUGCUGGAAGCAGCAGUAUUUCAGUGGAUAGUGGUGAAGGUCAAAAAGUUCAGACUCUCAUUUCAAAGCACUUAAAAACAACAGCCUGUGGGAGGCUCAGCUCCAAGCUGCUACAUGACGCCUUGCUCAAAUCCCAGCAUCUCAUUUUCACUCCAAAGAAAAACGGGUCUGCAGGGAGUCUGCACUGAUACCACUGAUAUUUUCCAUGGACUGUAAGUCACCUCUGGUCAUCCACAGCCUCCCCAUCAAUCACUUCUCCUUCUGCAUUGAUUCAGAUAUUGGAGAAUGAUAGCUGGAAGAUAAAGCAGAAGGCCAAACCUCAUGCAAUCUAAUUAUAGUGUGCUGAAACGGCUUCCAGGAACUCUGCGAGGACAGAUACCCUGAUCAUGCCACGUAAUGGCUAGAAGGAAAGUAAAGAUAACAGCCAGGUACGUCCCCUUCCAGGGAAGUAGCAAAGGUUCACACGUUGUGAUUACACUGGUACCAGACCAACACCAAGUAGCACCACCAGCCCAGUGCCGGAGAGCUUCCUGAGCAGAGAGCCACAUGUCUGGGCAGAGAUGCAGACACCAGUCUGUCAGCAGAGGCAGUGGGUACACAUCUCGGAGAUCAGUUCCAAAGUUGUGCCUAAGCCUGUGUCCUGCACACACUGCUAAAUAAAAUGAGGAACAAUACUGACCUUCCCCCACAAGGGAAGCAAUCAUUUGCUGGCUGAACGAGAGCACACCUUUUUGCUCAAUGCAAACCCAUGCCUUCAAAAAGCAGAGCGUGUCACUGAGCAAGUUCAUUGUUUUUAUAUUAAUUACUUAAUUACUCCAGGAGAACAGCACUAUCCUGCAGUGAUUUCCCAGACCAAACAUGGACAGCUGUGCCUUUCCACAGAUCCUGAUCUCUAUUUUUUUAACACUUUUAGCAGCAUAAGACACAUCAGAAGCCAGGUGAAAAGGUAUUUUCACACCUCCCUUUACAAUGACUCACUCCUGAUGCUGUUCUGAUCAGGCUCCUAUGGCUGGAUGGCUAUGACACAGCCCCACCUUUGCAGCUGUUAUGCCAGGUCCAAAGGGUAUACAAGUAAUAGCUGGCAGUAAGCCGUAUGAGGACACCUCCAUCCUGAAUCACCCUCUCUCGAUCACUCAGAGUGGCUUUAUGGCCAGAUCACAUGGACAGCACAUGACGAAGCAGUUCUGAUCUCUGAUUUUCUCCAAAUAGUUAUUUUCUGCUGGUCACCACAGGCCAGAUGCUAUUUCCUUCUUGCUCCUAUUUGCAUCUAUCUGAAGUUUAAGAGAAUCUUUUGAAAUGCUGUACUAAAUUUUGUUUGUUUUUAUUGUUAGUGCUCCUGGCACCUGUGUAGGUAUAGUUGUGACCCUCCCCCAUGUGUAUGAACUGCACUCAGCAUGCUUAUUUACAGUCACGCAGCUCAUGUAUAAAAACAAGGGAAAUAUGA